rnacentral:rRNA from 1 species
UACGUAGGGUGCGAGCGUUGUCCGGAAUUAUUGGGCGUAAAGGGCUCGUAGGCGGUCUGUCACGUCGGGAGUGAAAACACGGGGCUUAACCCCGAGCCUGCUUCCGAUACGGGCAGACUAGAGGUAUGCAGGGGAGAAUGGAAUUCCUGGUGUAGCGGUGAAAUGCGCAGAUAUCAGGAGGAACACCGGUGGCGAAGGCGGUUCUCUGGGCAUUACCUGACGCUGAGGAGCGAAAGUGUGGGGAGCGAACAGG